GACGAACGCUGGCGGCGUGCCUAAUACAUGCAAGUAGAACGCUGAAGAGAGGAGCUUGCUCUUCUUGGAUGAGUUGCGAACGGGUGAGUAACGCGUAGGUAACCUGCCUUGUAGCGGGGGAUAACUAUUGGAAACGAUAGCUAAUACCGCAUAACAAUGGAUGACACAUGUCAUUUAUUUGAAAGGGGCAAUUGCUCCACUACAAGAUGGACCUGCGUUGUAUUAGCUAGUAGGUGAGGUAAUGGCUCACCUAGGCGACGGUACAUAGCCGACCUGAGUGGGUGAACGGCCAACCUGGGACUGGGACAAGGCCCAGAAUCCUACGGGAGGCAGCCGUAGGGAAUCUUCGGCAAUGGGGGCAACCCUGACCGAGCAACGCCGCGUGAGUGAAGAAGGUUUUCGGAUCGGAAAGCUCUGUUGUAAGUCAAGAAAGGGUGUGAGAGUGGAAAGUUCACACUGUGACGGUAGCUUAACAGAAAGCGACGGCUAACUACGUG
rnacentral:rRNA from 1 species